AACAAGGCGUACCUGCGGACCUGCGGAGGGAUCAUUAAAAAGAGUGUGUACCCCUCUGUAAAAUGAGUGGGUUACCUCCCGUCCUUUGUUGACCUCUUAGGAGGUUAUUUUGAACUUUCUGCUUCGGUGGGGUUAAACCUACCGGAACACCCUCAAAUUCUUAUCAUUUAAAAAUUGUUCAGUCUGAUUUUUGUUAAUAAAAACAAAAAACUUUCAACAACGGAUCUCAGAUCGGAAGAG
rnacentral:misc_RNA from 1 species